GACGAACGCUGGCGGCGUGCUUAACACAUGCAAGUCGAACGGAAAGGCCCUGCUUUUGUGGGGUGCUCGAGUGGCGAACGGGUGAGUAACACGUGAGUAACCUGCCCUUGACUUUGGGAUAACUUCAGGAAACUGGGGCUAAUACCGGAUAGGAGCUCCUGCUGCAUGGUGGGGGUUGGAAAGUUUCGGCGGUUGGGGAUGGACUCGCGGCUUAUCAGCUUGUUGGUGGGGUAGUGGCUUACCAAGGCUUUGACGGGUAGCCGGCCUGAGAGGGUGACCGGCGACAUGGGGACUGCGGGACGGCCCAGACUCGUACGGGAGGCAGCGGGCGAGAAUAUUGCGGAGUGGGCGGGAGCCAGAGGCAGCAACGCCGCGUGCGGGAUGACGGCCUUCGGGUUAAAAACCGCUUUCGCCUGUGACGAGGCGGGAGUGACGGUAAUGGGUAAGGAAGCACCGGCUAACUACGUG
rnacentral:rRNA from 1 species